AAAAAUAUGAAAGAGAUUCUCUGUCUUAGGACUUCCAUAAAAGAGGAUUUUCAUUGCUGACAAUGAGGAGCCAGUGAAGGAUGCUGAGCAUGAGAAUAAUGUGUGCAGGCAUUGUUUUUGGAAGAUUCAUCAUGCAUUCAUGAUACAAGAUAGAUUGUAGAAGACAUGUACCAGCA
rnacentral:lncRNA from 1 species